UUUUAGGUAACGUCAGGCGAACGUUUUUUUGUGGCGUUUCUGUUUAGAAACAUUACUAAACUUAGAUUAUUUUUGAAAAAAAGAAUAGUUAAACUUGAUUAAUAUAUAACAUUUAUGUGUGGUUGGUAAUUUUUGUAUUGCUUUUAUUUGUAUUAAAAACUUGGUUGUUGUUCUCACAUUAAAUUAUUGUCAAAGAAAUGCUCAGAUAGUUUGCAAACCUACCCAGAUAGUUUUUUACAUAUAUUUUUUAUCUACCUACCAAAUUUCAUUGAAUAAUAUUAUUGAGCAGAUAGUCUAUAAAAGUGAGCAGUUUUGGUACCUCAUUUCUGUUUUUCUGAUUUCCGUAAGUGGGUGGUAAGAGGGGUACAAACAAGUUGAAUUUUAUUUGUGUGACUUGUUUAUAGUUUCUAAAAUUUUAUUGGUUUCAUUGAAAUUGAAAACAUAAGCGUUGAUUACUAUAAUUCUAGCUAUAGGUUGUGGGUAACCAUUACCACCCUAUUUAACAAACUUCUCAACUUAACCAAAAUUUACGAAUAGCAGCGGAAAGACUUUUUUUUCAAAAGUAGGCUCAGUUGUGGUCUUUAUCUUUAGCUUGUAGGUUAUACUUGGUGCAAAAAGCCUAAUUCAGGUUUUAAAUUGUUAACUUAUUUUAAAAUAAUUAUAAUUGUUAUUAUAAAGAUUUAUUUAUUUUACUUAUUUUUUUUUUUUGGUUGGGGGGGGGCACACGCCCCUCCCACAAGUCAAUAAGCACACCACCAAUAAAUGAAUUUCUUGUAGCAAAAAAAAUUUUUAUGUUUUUUAUACUGUAUACUAGUUUCACUUAUUUUAUUAAA